ensembl:misc_RNA Metazoa_SRP Metazoan signal recognition particle RNA
GCCGGGUGUGGUGGCGCAUGCCUGUAAUCCCAGCUACUUAGGAGGCUGAGGCAGGAGAAUCGCUUGAACCCAGGAGGCAGAGGUUGCAGUGAGCCAAGAUGGCCCCACUGCACUUCAGCCUGGGUGACAAAGCGAGAAUCCCUCUCAA